rnacentral:sRNA from 1 species
GCUGGGUGUAGUGGUGCAUGCCUGUAAUCCCAGAGACUAGGGAGGCUGAGGCAGGAGGAUUGCAAGUUUGAGGCCAGCCUCAGCUACUUAGGCUCUAAACAACUGAGUGAGACCCUGUUUCUA